CAACUCCUGAGCUCAGGCAAUCCACCCGCCUCAGCCUCCCGAAGUGCUAGGAUUACAGGUGUGAGCCACCGCAGCCGGCCAUCUCCUGAAUAGAUUUUAAAUACCUAGAGGUCAGGGAUGAUUAUUCAAUACAUAUAUAUUGAAUACUUACUAUGUGUUGGACCCGGUGCUAGGGUUUUAUGUAUAUAUUUGAGAGCUCCACAUCCCUGGAUCUGAAUCCUCCACUUCCCACUGGAACCAUGCCCCUCCCAGUCCCGUUUCUCCCCUCUAGGGGAUGGAGGCUGAGAGACCCCAGGAAGAAGAGGAUGGUGAGCAGGGCCCCCCUCAGGAUGAGGAAGGCUGGCCCCCUCCAAACUCCACCACUCGGCCUUGGCGAUCUGCUCCUCCAUCCCCUCCUCCUCCAGGGACCCGCCACACAGGUACCCCUACCCACCCAGGGAGAGCCCCGACCCUAGUGCCCACAUCCUGACCCCAUUACCAAGGCCCACUCCAUUGUGGGCCCUCUCCCCACCUCCUCCAGACUCCCCUUGGGAUUCCCCAUUGCACCCCCUCUCCUCUGAUCCAAAGUCCCUAAUCACGUCACCCUGUCCACACUCCCCCACGGCUCCUGUCUGCCAACCUCUCUGGGUCUCUGAGCCCUCCACACCCCUCUCCCCAGCCCUGGGACCCCGCUCGGCCUCCCUGCUCUCCCUGCAGACUGAACUCCUUCUGGACCUGGUGGCUGAAGCCCAGUCCCGCCGCCUGGAGGAGCAGAGGGCCACCUUCUACACCCCCCAAAACCCCUCAAGCCUAGCCCCUGCCCCACUCCGUCCUCUCGAGGACAGAGAACAGCUUUACAGCACUAUCCUCAGUCACCAGUGCCAGCGGAUGGAAGCCCAGCGGUCAGAGCCUCCCCUCCCUCCAGGGGGGCAAGAGCUCCUGGAGUUGCUGCUGAGAGUUCAGGGUGGGGGUCGAAUGGAGGAGCAAAGGUCCCGGCCCCCCACACACACCUGCUGAGACUUGAGCCCCAACCAGCCCUUCCUUGCCACUGGUCUCAAAGCUGGGCAGCCCAUUGCAUGCCCUCAACUCUUGCUUGGCAGGGGUACCAGAGACUGAAAGACACGGCACAAAUCUCAAUAUUCAUCUCCCACAUCACCUUCCCUGGGAACUGGACAGGGUGAAAGUCCUCAAACUCUGGGAACAGGCGAGAUGGAACAGGGAUUUAACUCCCCGCCCACAGGUCCAUGGGAGCUUGAGGCAGUAAGGGGGAUCCCAGGCACCCAUCUCAAGGAGUGGCUGGGAGUCUUUUCCCUAACUUGUGGGGACACCACCAGUUGUCAAGCUACUAGGCAGUAGGGUCUGAGGGCUCAGGCCUCCACCUGAGAGGUUAUAACCUGAGAGACAGCUCUACCCUUCCUCCCAGUAAGAAGGGAAGGUGGGUGGGCACCUGAGAGAUUAAGACUAUUCUCCCAGUCCCACUACCAGCACCCCCGAUCCCUGAGACUGAGGGGUUUACGGGCUGUGAAUGGACCUUCAGCCCUGCCCACCCUCCCUCCCCACUGCUGCUGAGUCUGUCUGAUGUUUUGGUUGUGUGAAUAAAUAUAAUUCCCCUCUGGA
rnacentral:lncRNA from 10 species